rnacentral:rRNA from 1 species
UACGGAGGGUGCAAGCGUUAAUCGGAAUUACUGGGCGUAAAGCGCGCGUAGGCGGUUAUUUAAGUCAGAUGUGAAAGCCCCGGGCUCAACCUGGGAAUUGCAUUUGAUACUGGAUGGCUAGAGUGUGGUAGAGGUGAGUGGAAUUUCAGGUGUAGCGGUGAAAUGCGUAGAGAUCUGAAGGAACAUCAGUGGCGAAGGCGACUCACUGGGCCAUUACUGACGCUGAGGUGCGAAAGCGCGGGUAGCAAAACAGG